CCUACGGGUGGCAGCAGUGGGGGAUAUUGCACAAUGGGGGAAACCCUGAUGCAGCGACGCCGCGUGGGCGAAGAAGUAUUUCGGGACGUAAAGCCCUAUCAGCAGGGAAGAAGAAAUGACGGUACCUGAGUAAGAAGCACCGGCGAAAUAAGUUCCAGCAGCCGCGGUAACGCGUAUGGUGCAAGCGUUAUCCGGAUUUACUGGGGUGAAAGGUAGGGCAGGCGUCACGGCAAGCCUGAUGUGAAAGCCCGCGGCCCAACCGCGGGACUGCAUUAGGAACUGCCGGGCUGGAGUGCCGGAGAGGUGGGCGGAAUUCCUGGUGUAGCGGUGAAAUGCGUAGAUAUAAGGAGGAACACCAGUGGCGAAGGCGGCCUACUGGACGGUGACUGACGCUGAGGCUCGAAAGCGUGGGGAGCAAACAGGAUUAGAUACCCCAGUAGUC
rnacentral:rRNA from 1 species